UGUGAAUGAUUAGCUUGGCCAUGCUGAUAACUAAGGAAAAUGUAAGAUGAGUGCCUCCCCCAGCCGCCUAGAGCACUUAGAUUUACCCUGCUACCAACCUCCUCCAAUUCCAUGCAAAAGACAGCAGGACACUAAGACAGUUGGCCAAUGUCGGCCCUAAUAAACUUUCCAGUGCCGCGAACAACUCUCCCAUCAGCUCUAACGACUGCGCCCUGAGGAAGACGUGCCCUGGGAAACAGGGAUGGCAGAGAAGCAAUGGGAAAGAGUCUUGGAAAAGAGGUGCCUGAAAAAGACCAGAGAACCUGCUCAAAAGCAGCACAGCUGGGACCCACGCCCGGCAGGCCGCGGACAGCCUCCAUCAGAACCCCAGGCCCGCACACCAGGCCGAUUUAGAAGGACGUCCUACGCCCGAGCACCAGAACCAAAGUGUCCAGGAGGAGACGUGCCAGCAAACCACGGUGGGCGCUCCCAAGACCUCUCCGAUGUUGCUGCUGAUUUCUGACUCAACCUUGACAUCACCAUCUCUACAAGGACACUGAUGGGCCCUGACAACACCCUCCUCAGAGCUCCUCAACAUACUCUCCAAGAUUCGUGUCACUGGGUCCAUUCUACAGAUGAAGAUGAAGAAACCUAAGUUUAAAUAAAUUAAAAUCCUGUCCCAAUCCAUAGCUAAUCAGGAAAGGUGGAGAAGUAAAUGAGAUUUCAAAAUAGGAUUAACUGCUUGGAAUCUCAGUGCAGAAAAAAUCCUCUGUAUCUACUUGUAUCAGAGGAAUUAAAGGGCAUUAAUCGUCUUUAAAAAAAAAAACCUAUAAAGGAAAUUUUACAUAUAAACACUUGCUCUUGGAAGCAGAAGUGUCAGAGGUUGUAUGCUGUAUAACCAUGUUAAAAUUUUUUCCACAGAGGGAGGAAAGUGGCAGAGGAAGUGGCAGAGCACAUGCUUCGCAUGCAUGAGGUCCUGGGUUCAAUCCCCAGUACCAUCUCUAAGAAUAAACACGUGUCUUUGGAGCCCUGAGCCACCACGUUAAGAAGUGUGGUUAUCCUGAAGCUGCCCUGCUGAGGAGACCACAUAGGCAUAGUGGCCUCAGCAGCUCCAGCUGUUCAGCCCCCAGCCAUCUGAGUUUUCCUAGUCCAGACUCACAAGUGAAGGAGCCUUCAACAUGACUCCCAUCCCAUCCACCACCUGACUGCAGCCUCACGGAAGCACCCCAAGUCAGAGCCACACAGCUAAGCCAUUCCUAAAUUCUUGUCCUGCAGAAACUGAGAGAGAGAACAAAUGAUCAUGGUUUUAAGCUGAGGUGAUUUUGAUUGCUGGGAGUAAUUCGUUGUGCGGCAAUAGGAAAUCAAUAUGAGAUUCAUUACAAAAACCACUAAAAACUUUAACCUCAAAGUCAGUCAACUAUUAAUUAAAUGAGCCAGUAAAGCACCCUCCAAUCAGAUGUCUUCAGACAACCUGCAGGCCCUCUUACUCUCUACGACCUUCCUCUGCUCUGUGUUGACACUGAGCCCUCACUGCCACAUGACAGGACCCUGAAUGCACAAGGGAUCUCCAGCACCUGACACACGGAGCAGGUGAUCACUGUGGCUGUGGAAUGAACCUGUCAUAAUGCACCUGGGGGGUGAGCUGGCUGGGUUUUCCUACAGUGCUGUUCGACUUCCCAGGAUCUGCCCUUCAGCUUGACUCAGGGUCUCCUGAUAUGUGCUCACUGCUGAGUUUCUGACUCUCCAAUGACUACCUACAAAAUAACGCGACACCAAAUUUCUGGUUGGUUCAAACGUACACGUCUCACCAGAGAAACCACGCUGUCCCACUCCACGAUGCCAGCUUAGCACCCGGAGCAAAGCCGAUGAGGAGGUCCCUUCUCAGCAUUCCUGUGUGCUGAUCCUUACCAGGUGGUCUCAAACAUCAAAUAAAAGUCACUAUUUUUCACUCAAA